rnacentral:sRNA from 1 species
CUCUCUGUACGGGAAGGAUGAGAAGCUUCGACUAAGGUUCGAUUCGAGCGCAGCGAGAAAGCGUUGCCGCAGGCAACGACCCGAAGGGCGAAGCGCGCAGCGCUGAGUCAUCCUUCCCCCACCACCA